rnacentral:rRNA from 1 species
GACGAACGCUGGCGGCGUGCUUAACACAUGCAAGUCGAACGGAAAGGCCCUGCUUGCAGGGUACUCGAGUGGCGAACGGGUGAGUAACACGGGGGUGCUCUGCCCUGCACUUCGGGAUAAGCCUGGGAAACUGGGUCUAAUACCGGAUAUGACCUUCCAUGUAGUGUGGGGGGUGGAAAGAUUUAUCGGUGUGGGAUGAGCCCGCGGCCUAUCAGCUUGUUGGUGGGGUAAUGGCCUACCAAGGCGUCGACGGGUAGCCGGCCUGAGAGGGUGGACGGCCACAUUGGGACUGAGAUACGGCCCAGACUCCUACGGGAGGCAGCAGUGGGGAAUAUUGCACAAUGGGCGGAAGCCUUAUGCAGCGACGCCGCGUGGGGGAUGACGGCCUUCGGGUUGUAAACCUCUUUCGACAGGGACGAAGCUUCGGUGACGGUACCUGUAGAAGAAGCACCGGCUAACUACGUG